GGCAGGCAUGGUGGCAAACACCUGUAGUCUCAGCUACUCGGGAGCCUGAAGCAGGAGGAUCGCUUGAGGCCAGGCGUUCUGGGCCAUAGUGUGCCUUCACACUAAGUUCAGCAUCAAUAUGGUGACCUCCUGGGAGCGGGGCACCACCAGACUGGCUAAGGAAGGGUGAACUGGCCCAGGUCGGAAAUGGAGCAAGUCAUAAGUAACUCCCGUGCUGAUCAGUAGUGGGAUCGUGCCUGUGAAUAGCUACUGCAUUCCAGCCUGGGCAACAUAGUGAGACCUCAUCUCU
rnacentral:SRP_RNA from 1 species